rnacentral:rRNA from 1 species
UAAGGAAUAUUGGUCAAUGGACGCAAGUCUGAACCAGCCAUGCCGCGUGAAGGAUGAAGGUCCUCUGGAUUGUAAACUUCUUUUAUCUGGGACGAAAACGGGAUUUAUAUCUCAAUUGACGGUACCAGAGGAAUAAGCACCGGCUAACUCCGUGCCAGCAGCCGCGGUAAUACGGAGGGUGCGAGCGUUAUCCGGAUUUACUGGGUUUAAAGGGUGCGUAGGUGGGCUUAUAAGUCAGUGGUGAAAUCUCCGAGCUUAACUUGGAAACUGCCGUUGAUACUAUAGGUCUUGAAUUAUCUGGAGGUGAGCGGAAUAUGUCAUGUAGCGGUGAAAUGCUUAGAUAUGACAUAGAACACCAAUUGCGAAGGCAGCUUACUACACAAUCAUUGACACUGAGGCACGAAAGCGUGGGUAGCGAACA